AGCGGCGGACGGGUGAGUAACGCGUGGGUAACCUGCCUUAUACAGGGGGAUAACAGUUAGAAAUGACUGCUAAUACCGCAUAAGCGCACAGUACCGCAUGGUAGUGUGUGAAAAACUCCGGUGGUAUAAGAUGGACCCGCGUCUGAUUAGCCAGUUGGCGGGGUAACGGCCCACCAAAGCGACGAUCAGUAGCCGACCUGAGAGGGUGACCGGCCACAUUGGGACUGAGACACGGCCCAAACUCCUACGGGAGGCAGCAG
rnacentral:rRNA from 1 species